rnacentral:rRNA from 1 species
UAGGGAAUCUUCCGCAAUGGGCGAAAGCCUGACGGAGCAACGCCGCGUGAGUGAUGAAGGUCUUCGGAUCGUAAAACUCUGUUAUUAGGGAAGAACAAAUGUGUAAGUAACUAUGCACGUCUUGACGGUACCUAAUCAGAAAGCCACGGCUAACUACGUGCCAGCAGCCGCGGUAAUACGUAGGUGUCAAGCGUUAUCCGGAAUUAUUGGGGGUAAAGCGCGCGUAGGCGGUUUUUUAAGUCUGAUGUGAAAGCCCACGGCUCAAACGUGGAGGGUCAUUGGAAACUGGAAAACUUGAGUGCAGAAGAGGAAAGUGGAAUUCCAUGUGUAGCGGUGAAAUGCGCAGGGAUAUGGAGGAACACCAGUGGCGAAGGCGACUUUCUGGUCUGUAACUGACGCUGAUGUGCGAAAGCGUGGGGAUCAAAAAGG